CUUCACCGAGCCGAGGAGCAGCGGCCGGUCGGCCGGGCGGUCCUGUCCGUACGUGGCGAUGAGGGCCUGGGCCUC
rnacentral:antisense_RNA from 1 species